AAUAAGCAUGGUUGUGGGUUUCAGUGCCCAACUUUAACCAUCCGUCUUAUUUAAAAAAAAAUAGUUAGUGGUUUUAUUGUUAUUAGAUGAUAUAAUAUGAAUAGUAUUUUAUGUGUGACUUAACUUUUAAUUUUUUUCAUAAACUUUUUAAAUAAGCGGAUGAUAUAAUAUUGGAUAAGGAAAUUUAUACUUGCACUUAUA
rfam:Oryza meridionalis cultivar OR44 (W2112) chromosome 10, whole genome shotgun sequence.